AACAAUAAGUGAUUGGAUAUCUUGUGGUGUUUUAUGACUUGCUCUGUUUUACUUAUGUCUUUUAUCAUCCUUGUUUUAUGUUCUGCAUGACUUAUUUGGUUCUUUGUGUUGUAAUAUUUAGACAUCUUUUGUAUGGUUUAAUGUUUAAUUUUCUCUUAGAUUUUAUUAUGUUUCUUUUCCAUUCUUUUUUAUUAUGACAAAAGGGGAGAAUAUGUAUGCAUAUGUGUU
rnacentral:lncRNA from 1 species